rnacentral:rRNA from 1 species
GUGAGGAAUUUUCCGCAAUGGGCGAAAGCCUGACGGAGCAAUGCCGCGUGAAGGAUGAAGGCCUAUGGGUUGUAAACUUCUUUUCUCAGAAAAGAAUUAUGACGGUAUCUGAGGAAUAAGCAUCGGCUAACUCUGUGCCAGCAGCCGCGGUAAGACAGAGGAUGCAAGCGUUAUCCGGAAUGAUUGGGCGUAAAGCGACUGUAGGUUGUUUAAAAAGUAUUCUGUCAAAGAUUAGGGCUUAACCCUAGAUAGGCAGAAUAAACUUUUAAGCUAGAGUUUGGUAGAGGCAGAGGGAAUUCCCGGUGGAGCGGUGAAAUGCGUAGAUAUCGGGAGGAACACCAAAGGCGAAGGCACUCUGCUGGGCCAAUACUAACACUGAGAGACGAAAGCGAGGGGAGCAAAUGGGAUUAGAAACCCUGGUAGUCC